rnacentral:rRNA from 1 species
AUUGAACGCUGGCGGCAGGCCUAACACAUGCAAGUCGAACGAGUGGCGGACGGGUGAGUAAUGUCUGGGAACCUUCAUGAUGGCGGGGGAUAACUACUGGAAACGGUAGCUAAUACCGCAUACCAUCAGAUGUGCCCAGAUGGGGUUAGCUAGUUGGGGGGGUAACGGCGCACCAAGGCGACGAUCCCUAGCUGGUCUGAGAGGAUGACCAGCCACACUGGAACUGAGACACGGUCCAGGCUCCUACGGGAGGCAGUAGUGGGGAAUAUUGUACAAUGGGCGCAAGCCUGACGCAGCCAUGCCGCGUGUAUGAAGAAGGCCUGCGGGUUGUAAAGUACUUUCAGCGGGGAGGCGUUACCCUCAGAAGAAGCACCGGCUAACUCCGUGCCAGCAGCCGCGGUAAUAC